rnacentral:rRNA from 1 species
UACGUAGGGUGCAAGCGUUGUCCGGAAUUAUUGGGCGUAAAGAGCUCGUAGGUGGCCUGUCGCGUCGGCUGUGAAAACUCGGGGCUCAACUCCGAGCUUGCAGUCGAUACGGGCAGGCUAGAGUCGGCAGGGGAGACUGGAAUUCCUGGUGUAGCGGUGAAAUGCGCAGAUAUCAGGAGGAACACCGGUGGCGAAGGCGGGUCUCUGGGCCGAUACUGACACUGAGGAGCGAAAGCGUGGGGAGCGAACAGG